CGAUUAUUGAAAGACUAUGCGACGCGGGAAUUCAAUGCUUUCCUGUGGAUUUCUCUUGUUACCAUCACUGCUCUCUUGCUAGAGAAGGUUUUCAAGUUGUUUAGAUUAUGGGCUAAAGCGAGGAGAAUCACCGGCCCUGCUUGUACUUCCUUCUUCGGGCAUAAGAACUUUGGUUCCCGCGGGAAUUUCAUCGACCUGUUGUCGGAGCUGCACAAUAAAUAUGGAUCAGUUUUCAAGCUGAGUAGGCCCCANNNNNNNUCAGCUUCUGGUAUCCAUAAAAGACCCAGAACUUAUCAAAGAGAUGCUUUUGAAGGCCGAG
rnacentral:misc_RNA from 1 species